GUGCCUGCUUGAGCAGCACAUAUACUAGAACUGAAAUAAUGCAGGGAAGAUUAGCACCCCUGAACAAGGGUGACAGGCAAAUUCAUGAGGCAUUCCAUAUUUUU
ensembl:snRNA U6 U6 spliceosomal RNA